GAUGAAGAACGUAGCGAAAUGCGAUAAGUAAUGUGAAUUGCAGAAUUCAGUGAAUCAUCGAAUCUUUGAACGCACCUUGCGCCCUUUGGCUAUUCUGAAGGGCAUGCCUGUUUGAGUAUCAUGAACACCUCAACUCUCAUGGUUCGCCAUGAUGAGCUUGGACUUUGGGGGUCUUGCUGGCCUACGGUCGGCUCCUCUCAAAUGAAUCAGCUUGCCAGUGUUUGGUAGAGUCGCAGGUGUGAUAACUAUCUACGCUUGUGGUUUUCUGCCUGAUAACCUUCAGUGAUGGAGGUUCGCUGGAGCUUAUAAAUGUCUCUCCCCAGUGAGGACAGCUUUUUGAACGUUUGAUCUCAAAUCAGGUAGGACUACCCGCUGAACUUAAGCAUAUCAAUAAGCGGAGGA
rnacentral:misc_RNA from 1 species